rnacentral:rRNA from 1 species
AUGGGCUUCAGCUCUUCCGAGGACAUGCAGUUCACGCUCCUCGGCCGCCGCAUGGACAAGAUCCUCGGCAUGGACUGCAAGGGCCGCGGCAUCAUCUACGAGGACGACACGCACGCGGUCCGCCCGAUGCCCAGCAUGACGGCGCCCGAGCGUUACCGACCCUUGUCCAUCGCCGUAGACGGCGUCGGCCCCGAGGGCGAGGGAAGCCUGUACGUCAUCGAGGCGGAGCCGACGCGCGACAUCCCGGACCAGCCACAGUCCGUCGAGGCGCUCGUGUACGAAGGCGGGCGCUCCUGUAACGAGAAUGAUGACUGGGUAUGGCGCUCGCUCCCGCCGCCGCCGUACGUGCACGAAUUGCCAGGCCUGGGCACGGACGAACGGUCCGGCGAGAUCAUCUGCCACGGGAUGGAGGGCAACCGCGUGGUCAACGGCUCCCUGGUCUGGGUGUCCACGGCGGGCCGCGGCACGUACUGGCUGGACACAGGGAGCGGCAUGUGGAGCAAGGCCAGCGACUGGGCGCUGCCGUUCCAGGGACGCGCGUCGCCUGUCUGGGAGUACGGCCUCUGGUUCGGCUUCUCGGCCGUAGACAGCGGCCACAUCUGCGCCACCAACCUGUACCUCUCCGUCGAGGAGAACCGGCAGCCGGUGGCGGAGCAGGUGUUGGAGGGAUUCGCGGUGCCGGAGGGGUGCCGCGAGAUGGGGUCGUACCUCAUGUACCUGGGCAACUUCCGGUUCUGCGUCGCCAAGCUCUUCAGGAUGACGACCCGCCGCCAAGGCAGGGGCUGCUGCUGCUGCUGGGAUGUCCCCAAGGAGAAGUGCUUCGCAACGCUCACCGGCGUGGAGGUUGUGCGCGGCGACCACGCCGGCAAAUGGCACCACAUGAUGAAACACAGAUCACUCCAGUACUACUUAGGCGAAUACUUCUCCGGCUGUGUACUCUAG